rnacentral:rRNA from 1 species
GAUAAACGCUGACAGAAUGCUUAACACAUGCAAGUCGAUGAUGGGAGCUAGCUUGCUAGAAGAAGUCAUGGCGGACGGGUGAGUAACGUGUAAAGAACUUACCAUAUAGACUGGGAUAACAGAGGGAAACUUCUGAUAAUACUGGAUAAGUUAGUAGUAGCAUUACUAAGUAAUGAAAGGUAGCAAUACGCUAUAUGAGAGCUUUGCAUCCUAUUAGCUAGUUGGUGGGGUAAAAGCCUACCAAGGCGAUGAUAGGUAGCCGGCCUGAGAGGGUGGACAGCCACAAGGGGACUGAGAUACGGCCCUUACUCCUACGGGAGGCAGCAGUGGGGAAUAUUGGACAAUGGAGGCAACUCUGAUCCAGCAAUUCUGUGUGUGGGAAGAAGGUUUUAGGACUGUAAAACACUUUUAGUAGGGAAGAAAGAAAUGACGGUACCUACAGAAGAAGCGACGGCUAAAUACGUG